AUUGAACGCUGGCGGCAGGCCUAACACAUGCAAGUCGAGCGGAUGAAGGGAGCUUGCUCCUGGAUUCAGCGGCGGACGGGUGAGUAAUGCCUAGGAAUCUGCCUGGUAGUGGGGGAUAACGUCCGGAAACGGGCGCUAAUACCGCAUCCGUCCUGAGGGAGAAAGUGGGGGAUCUUCGGACCUCACGCUAUCAGAUGAGCCUAGGUCGGAUUAGCUAGUUGGUGGGGUAAAGGCCUACCAAGGCGACGAUCCGUAACUGGUCUGAGAGGAUGAUCAGUCACACUGGAACUGAGACACGGUCCAGACUCCUACGGGAGGCAGCAGUGGGGAAUAUUGGACAAUGGGCGAAAGCCUGAUCCAGCCAUGCCGCGUGUGUGAAGAAGGUCCUCGGAUUGUAAAGCACUUUAAGUUGGGAGGAAGGGCAGUAAGUUAAUACCUUGCUGUUUUGACGGUACCAACAGAAUAAGCACCGGCUAACUUCGUG
rnacentral:rRNA from 1 species